rnacentral:misc_RNA from 1 species
ACUAAAUUUGAAUUUACAUUUUUUUCUUAAAUUUCUAGUUCUUUGGAUAUCAUUUUUGUAUUUUCAUUACGGGAAAAUAAUUUUCCUUUAUUACUUUUAAAUUUAAGAAAUUAAUUAACCUUUUUAUAUAGACAGCUUAUACCGUUUUUAUCAACAAAUAAAAACAAAAAGAGAAUUGAGGGGGAGAAUGGUGCGGGCGUAAAGGAUAAGAAACAUGAAGAGAGAGAAAUAAAGCAAGAUAAGAAAGAAUGAGGGGGAGAAGGGUGCGGGCGUAGAGGAGAAGAAAUAUGGAAAGAGAGAAAUAUGAUAAGAUAAGAGAGAAAUAAGGGGGAGAGGAUUAGGAUAAUUUAGAUAUAAAAAAUAAUUAUAAGACUAAAUAGUUAACGGAGUGAAAUUGCAAGGACUAAAUAAUGUAUUUUUCUAAAAUAUAGGGACUAAUUAAUUAUUUUUACUAAAAUAGAUAAAUUAAUAGUAGUUUGAUUGGCAUUGACUAACAAAAAAUUAACGGAGAGACUAAAUAAUUUAACAGAAGCAAAAUAUAAGGACUAAAUAGUAUAUUUUUCAAAAUAUAGGGAC